GACGAACGCUGGCGGCGUGCUUAACACAUGCAAGUCGAACGGAAAGGCCCUGCUUUUGUGGGGUGCUCGAGUGGCGAACGGGUGAGUAACACGUGAGUAACCUGCCCUUGACUUUGGGAUAACUUCAGGAAACUGGGGCUAAUACCGGAUAGGAGCUCCUGCUGCAUGGUGGGGGUUGGAAAGUUUCGGCGGUUGGGGCUGGACUCGCGGCUUAUCAGCUUGUUGGUGGGGUAGUGGCUUACCAAGGCUUUGACGGGUAGCCGGCAUGAGAGGGUGACCGGCCACAUUGGGACUGAGAGACGGCCCAGACUCCAACGGGAGGCAGCAGGGGGGAAUAUUGCACAAUGGGCGGAAGCCUGAUGCAGCAACGCCGGGUGCGGGAUGACGGCCUUCGGGUUGUAAACCGCUUUCGCCUGUGACGAAGCGUGAGUGACGGUAAUGGGUAAAGAAGCACCGGCUAACUACGUG
rnacentral:rRNA from 1 species